rnacentral:rRNA from 1 species
GAUGAACGCUGGCGGCGUGCUUAACACAUGCAAGUCGAACGGGAAUUAUUUUAUUGCAACUUCGGUCGAUUUAAUUUAAUUCUAGUGGCGGACGGGUGAGUAACGCGUGGGUAACCUGCCUUAUACAGGGGGAUAACAGUCAGAAAUGGCUGCUAAUACCGCAUAAGCGCACAGAGCUGCAUGGCUCAGUGUGAAAAACUCCGGUGGUAUAAGAUGGACCCGCGUUGGAUUAGCUUGUUGGCAGGGUAACGGCCUACCAAGGCGACGAUCCAUAGCCGGCCUGAGAGGGUGAACGGCCACAUUGGGACUGAGACACGGCCCAGACUCCUACGGGAGGCAGCAGUGGGGAAUAUUGCACAAUGGGGGAAACCCUGAUACAGCGACGCCGCGUGAAGGAAGAAGUAUCUCGGUAUGUAAACUUCUAUCAGCAGGGAAGAUAGUGACGGUACCUGACUAAGAAGCCCCGGCUAACUACGUG